rnacentral:rRNA from 1 species
GCUAGCGGCAGGCUUAACACAUGCAAGUCGAGGGGUAACAGGAUUUAGUUUACUAGAUUGCUGACGACCGGCGCACGGGUGAGUAACGCGUAUACAAUUUGCCUUUUACUGGAGGAUAGCCCAGAGAAAUUUGGAUUAAUACUCCAUAGUAUUAUUUGGUCACCUGAUCGAGUAAUUAAAGUUCCGGCGGUAAAAGAUGAGUAUGCGUCCUAUUAGCUAGAUGGUAAGGUAACGGCUUACCAUGGCGACGAUAGGUAGGGGUCCUGAGAGGGAGAUCCCCCACACUGGUACUGAGACACGGACCAGACUCCUACGGGAGGCAGCAGUGAGGAAUAUUGGGCAAUGGAGGCAACUCUGACCCAGCCAUGCCGCGUGCAGGAAGACUGCCCUAUGGGUUGUAAACUGCUUUUAUACAGGAAGAAACUUAUCCACGUGUGGAUAACUGACGGUACUGUAAGAAUAAGGACCGGCUAACUCCGUGCCAGCAGCCGCGGUAAUACGGAGGGUCCAAGCGUUAUCCGGAAUCAUUGGGUUUAAAGGGUCCGUAGGCGGGCAAUUAAGUCAGAGGUGAAAUCCCACAGCUCAACUGUGGAACUGCCUUUGAUA